CAGUAGCCGCGGUAAUACGAAGGGUGCAAGCGUUAAUCGGAACUACUGGGCGUAAAGCGUGCGUAGGCGGUUUGUUAAGUCUGUUGUGAAAACCCCGGGCUCAACCUGGGAAUGGCAAUGGAUACUGGCAAGCUAGAGUGUGUCAGAGGAUGGUGGAAUUCCCGGUGUAGCGGUGAAAUGCGUAGAGAUCGGGAGGAACAUCAGUGGCGAAGGCGGCCAUCUGGGACAACACUGACGCUGAGGCACGAAAGCGUGGGGAGCAAACAGGAUUAGAUACCCCAGUAGUCCCUGUCUCUUAUAC
rnacentral:rRNA from 1 species